AUUUAAAAUAAUACUAUAUUUAAUAGUUAAUUCGUUUUUAAUUAAAAUAUUAUUUAUUUAUAAAAAUUAUAAAUUGUUUUAGUAAAUUUUUAUUGUGAAAGAUUGUAUAAAAUAAAAAAAAGAAAAAUUAAAUUUUUGUACCUUGUGUAUCAGGGUGAAUUAAAAUAAAAAAUAAAUUUUUUUAUCUCGAAUCUAAAAGAGCUAAAGUUAAAUGUAUUUAAUUGUUUUAUAAAUUUUUAUAAUUUAAUUUUUGAAGUGAAAUGUUAUUCGUUUUUAGAUAUAUCUAGUUUUUUAAGAAAUGAAUUUAAUUCAGAAUUUAAUAAAAAAUUUAUUGUUUUAUAAUAUGUUUUUAUUAAUAUUUAAUAUAUUUAGGGUUAAGCUUAAAUAUAAAUUUUUAUUAUAUUUUUAAAAGUUGAUGAAUUUUUAGGAUUAAUAUUGUCUUUAAUAAUUAAUUUUAUAUUUAAUUUAUUAAAUUUAAUUUUUAUUUUUGUAUAAAUUUUAUAUUAAAAUAUUUUAUUUAACUAUAUUUUAUAGGAAAUUAUGAUUUAAUUAGUAAAUUGUUGUUGUAAAUUAUUUAAUAGCUGGCAGGUUAAUUAAAGGAACUCGGCAAAUUUGUUUUCCACCUGUUUAUUAAAAACAUGUCUUUUUGAAAAUAAUUUAAAGUCGUGCCUGCCCAAUGAAAUAUUUUAAUGGCCGCAGUAUUUUGACUGUGCUAAGGUAGCAUAAUCAUUAGUCUUUUAAUUAAAGACUUGUAUGAAAGGUUUAAUGAGAAAACAUCUGUCUCUAAUUAAUUUUAAUAGAAUUUUAUUUUUAAGUUAGAAAGCUUAAUUGAAUUUGAAAGACGAUAAGACCCUAUAGAGUUUAAUUAAUUUUUAAGUAAUUUUUUAUUGGAAAAUAUUUUAUUUUGUUUAAUUUUAAUUUAGUUGGGGUGAUUAAAAAAUUAAGUAAACUUUUUUUUUUUGUCAACAUUAAUUUAUGAAUAUUUGAACCAUUUUUAUUGAUUAAAAGAUUAAAUUACCUUAGGGAUAACAGCGUAAUUUUUUUUGAGAGUUCUUAUCGAAAAGAAAGGUUGCGACCUCGAUGUUGGAUUAAGAUAAAAUUUUGGUGAAGAGGCUAAAAAUUUAGGUCUGUUCGACCUUUUAAAUCUUACAUGAUCUGAGUUUAAACCGGCGUGAGCCAGGUUGGUUUCUAUCUUCAAAAAAUAAGAUAAUUUAGUACGAAAGGACCAGUUUAAUUUAAUUUAAAAUUUUAAUUUGAAGAACUUU
rnacentral:rRNA from 1 species